CACAAAUUUUUUAAUCUUCAACAAGUAUAUAAAAUUAUAUCAUAAAAAUAAGUGAAUGGCAUAUAUACCCUUAAUUGAAAUAAAAAUUUCCUCCCCAUUCUCUCUGUUCUCUAUUCUAUUUUCUCUCCCCUCCCACGGAUCCUAUACCUCAAAUUCAGCAUUAUAUCCAUAGAGUUCAUUGAUAGAAUACUGUCAUCUUGCGAUUCCUGAUAAUUUGUUCCCUAUCCUACGUUUUUAGUUUAUGAAAAUUCUGAAUUCAUAUUUUUUAUGCAAAAUAUAAAAUAAUAUUUUUUAUUACUAACAUAAUUAUACAAAAUAUAAUUUUUAUACAAAAUAUAAUUUUUUUAAAUAUUUGAAUGUGUGUAUCUAUUAUUUGGCUGGGGCUACUAUACUCUUAUGAGUAUAGAACCCCUUGUACUCAUAAAUUUUUAACCGUUGUUUGAUGGGAUGUGUGGUUAGGAUGAUGGCGGUCCCUGUUUGAGAUAAAAAAAAAAAUUUUGAAUUCAAAUUUCAAAUUGAAGA
rnacentral:lncRNA from 1 species